rnacentral:rRNA from 1 species
UCCCGUUGAUCCUGCGGGAGGUUGCUGCUAUCGGGAUUCGAUUAAGCCAUGCAAGUCAGAGGGUCUCUUCGGAGGCACAGGCAAACUGCUCAGUAACACGUCGAUAAUCUACCCUUAUGUCUGGAAUAACUUCGGGAAACUGAAGCUAAGGCCGGAUAGGAGAACUGUAAUGGAAGAUCUUUUCUCUCAAAAGCAAUGCAUAAGGAUGAGUCGGCGUCGGAUUAGGUAGUUGGUGGAGUAAAGGCCCACCAAGCCGAAGAUCCGUACGGGCCUUGAGAGAGGUAGCCCGGAGAAGGACACUGAGACACAGGUCCUAGCCCUACGGGGUGCAGCAGGCGCGAAAACUUUACAAUGCACGCAAGUGUGAUAAGGGAAUCCCGAGUGCUUUACUUUUUAGUAAGGCUUUUUUCAAGAGUAAAAAUCUUGGAGAAUAAGUGGUGGGCAAGACUGGUGCCAGCAGCCGCGGUAACACCAGCGCCACGAGUGGCAAUCAGAUUUAUUGGGUCUAAAGCGUCCGUAGCCGGUUUGAUAAGUCUUUUGUGAAAUUGAUGUGCUCAACAUAUCAACGUGCAAGAGAUACUAUCAGACUAGGAACUGGGAGGGGUUAGAGGUAUUCCUUGGGGAGCGGUAAAAUGCUAUAAUCCUUGGAGGACCACCUGUGGCGAAAGCGUCUAACCAGAACAGCUUCGACGGUGAGGGACGAAAGCUAGGGGAGCAAACCGGAUUAGAUACCCGAGUAGUCCUAGCCAUAAACGCUGUGAGCAAGGUGUUGCACAUUCUAUAUGAAUAUGCAGUGUCGAAACGAAGGUAUUAAGCUCACCACCUGGGAAGUAUGGUCGCAAGGCUGAAACUUAAAGGAAUAGGCGGGGGAGCACCACAAGGGGUGCGGCGUGCGGUUUAAUCUAAUUCAACGCAGAGAAUCUCACCAGAAGCGACGGCAAGAUGAUAGUCAGGUUGAAGGCCUUACUUGAUGAGCCGAGAGGUAGUGCAUGGCCGCCGUCAGCUCGUGCUGUAAGGUGUCCUGCUAAGUCAGGCAACGAGCGAGACCUGUAUCUACAAUUGCUAACGACUUUUAGAAUCGAGCACAUUGUGGAGACUGCCUUCGAAAGGAGGAGGAAGGUGCAGGCUACGGUAGGUCUGUAUGCUCCGAAUCUUCUGGGCUACACGCGCGCAACAAUGGUAGGAACAAUGGGAUACAACUCCGAAAGGAGAAGUUAAUCCUCGAAAUCCUAUCUUAGUUCAGAUUGAGGAUUGUAACUCAUCCUCAUGACGAUGGAAUCCCUAGUAAUCAGAUUUUAUCAUAGUCUGGUGAAUAUGUCCCUGCUCCUUGCACUCACUGCCCGUCAAACCAUCCGAGCAGAGUUUAGGUGAGGCUCAACUUUGUUAAGUCGAACCUAAGCUUCGUGAGGCGGGUUAAGUCGUCACAAGGUA